GGUUCGAUCAUUGGUCCAGAUUGAACGCUGGCGGGAUGCUUUACACAUGCAAGUCGAACGGCAGCACGGACUUCGGUCUGGUGGCGAGUGGCGAACGGGUGAGUAAUGUAUCGGAACGUGCCUAGUAGCGGGGGAUAACUACGCGAAAGCGUAGCUAAUACCGCAUACGCCCUUCGGGGAAAAGCGGGGGACCUUCGGGCCUCGCACUAUUAGAGCGGCGAUAUCGGAUUAGCUAGUUGGUGGGGGUAACGGCUCACCAAGGCGACGAUAGCUGGUUUGAGAGGACGACCAGCCACACUGGGACUGAGACACGGCCCAGACUCCUGCAGGAGGCAGCAGUGGGGAAUUUUGGACAAUGGGGAAACCUGAUCAGCCAUCCCGCGUGUGCGAUGAAGGCCUUCGGGUUGUAAAAAGCACUUUUGGCAGGGAAAGAAACGGCACGGGAUAAUACCCGUGCAACUGACAACCUGCAGAAUAAGCACCGGCUAACUACGUGCCAGCAGCCGCGGUAAUACGUAGGGUGCAAGCGUUAAUCGGAAUUACUGGGCGUAAAGCGUUAGUGCGCAGGCGGUUCGGAAAGAAAAGAUGUAAGAAAUCGGGGCUUAACUUUGGAACUGCAUUUUUAACUACCGAGCUAGAGUGUGUCAGAGGGAGGUGGAAUUCACGCGUGUAGCAGUGAAAUGCGUAGAUAUGCGGAGGAACACCGAUGGCGAAGGCAGCCUCCUGGGAUAACACUGACGCUCAUGCACGAAGCGUGGGAGCAAACAGGAUUAGAUACCCUGGUAGUCCACGCUAAACGAUGUCAACUAGCUGUUGGGGCCUUCGGGCCUUGGUAGCGCAGCUAACGCGUGAAGUUGACCGCCUGCAAGAGUACGGUCGCAAGAUUAAAACUCAAAGGAAUUGACGGGGACCCGCACAAGCGGUGGAUGAUGUGGAUUAAUUCGAUGCAACGCGAAAAACCUUACCUACCCUUGACAUGUCUGGAAUCCCGAAGAAGAGAUUUGGGAGUGCUCGCAAAGAACGGAACACAGGUGCUGCAUGGCUGUCGUCAGCUCGUGUCGUGAGAUGUUGGGUUAAGUCCCGCAACGAGCGCAACCCUUGCAUCCGUGUAGUUGCUACGAAAGGGCACUCUAAUGGGGUUGCCGGUGACAAAACCGGAGGAAGGUGGGGAUGACGUCAAGUCCUCAUGGCCCUUAUGGGUG
rnacentral:misc_RNA from 1 species